UUUUUUUUUGUUGAAGUACACACAACACAUGGCCAACCAAGCCGCACGCCUGUGGCCAUUACGUAAUAUGAAAUCUAACAUCAAAUUUGUGAUAGAAUAAGCCGGUAAAAGUUUUGUCGUAUCCCAGUGAAAUGAAUUACGUCUUGUUUCGAAGGGUACAUUGGUUUAUAAAAUAUUUCCUAAGAAUGGGAAAACAAAAGGGCAUAAUAAAUAUAUGCAUUAUUAUAUAACUCGGCUAAGACAUCCCAUCUUUUUAAAAAAAAUUAUUUUCGGAGCCCUGCAUUCACUUAAGAAUGUUCGGCGCCCCAUAUAUUUUUGUUCUUAAAACACAACUACCCCUCUCAUCUUCAUCUAUUUGCUCUCAUUUUUCAUGUCUCUCUUGUUCAAAGGGAGAAGGGGAAUUUUUCUUUCAUGCAUGCUUCAUGUAUCAUCAUCAAACGAGUACGUAGCUAGUGCUUUCCAGUUGCAGCAUCUGACGUGAGAUGAUGUCACUUGAGAGUGAGACAUACCUGCCAAAACCGACGGAAAACCUAACCGGAGGUCCAAUUAUCUUGGGCAAAUGGUUUAUUUUUCUGGAAUGGUAUCUGCGGCAGAUAUGAUGAAAGAUGAUCCAUAUCCAGAUUAAGCAUUUCUCAAGGCUAAGUACCGUCAAAUCAAAUAUAAUGGAACUCGAGUCAAAGCACUACUCCUAAUACCCAAUUCGGUUUGUGCAGCUGCCAUGUCAUCCUGCAUUAGCCAUCGUGUCCUGUGUUUCAUUGGAGCAACAUGAAUAGUGCCGGUUGGCUUGUUCCGGUAACAGUUGCCUGCAAUGCAAGUGAGCGCGACGGUCUGCAAGAGGAGCACUUCUGACUUCUGCACUUGGAUUAUAUACAUGUUUCUGUCCUUGUUUACUUCACCCCCAACUCCCAACUUUGACACUAUGCAAAAAGAAGAUUCUCCAUUACAUCAAACUUGCGGUACAUGCAUGGAGUACUAAAUGUAGAUGAAAUUAAAAAUUAAUUGCACAGUUUUGUUGUACUUUGCGAGAUGAAUCUUUUGAGCCUAAUUAGUCAAUGUUUGGACAAUAAUUCACAAAUACAAACGAAACGCUACAGUGUGCUACAGUGCCGGCACGGUAAUUUUGGCACUCCCAAUUUUGACAACUAAACAAAACCUCUGUCCCUUGGCAUACGCCAGAAGCUGGAGUUGUACGGCUUUUAGAGCCUCCAAGGUAGGCCGGCAUUUUAUUCCAUUAUCUUUUUUUAAAAAAAAAAAGAUGCUGGAGUUGAAUUAUGAAAGCACGUAACUAGCCCACCGUUUGAUAUUGUUCCCUAGUGGAGCUCAAGUGUAUAUGCUCGGCGGCUCGGUGCUAGUGCAGUUCCUGCUUGCUCAGCAUUUGUAAGGAAAUACUCUGAAAAGCGUACACUUGUGUGAAGAAACAGAAAACCUUUGGCAAAAAACGCAAAGUCAUAUUCUCAUGGAUUUCACAAGAAAUGCAAUGUGUUUUAGCCUUCCCCAAAAGAGCAAAUGUCAUGUGAAAAUUCGCGGAAAUAAAAGUUGACGCCACUGUCUCCGUCAACUCUCACGUCCCCGUGAUGCUGACAAUGAAGUCCAACGCCUACUCCCGAUGGGAGUCCUUCUUCAAGUCCAUGUGCGGCAAGUUCGGCCUCAAGUCGCACAUCGAUGACACGGUGGCGCCCCGACCCUAGGACCCCGACUGGGAUCAAGCGGAUUGCUGCGUCCGCUCCUGGUUCUUUGGCUCCGUCGACGACUUCGUUCUCGACCUCGCCAUGACCGACGACGAUCAUACCGCCCGGGAUCUUUGGCUCGCCAUCGAGGGCCUCUUUCGCACCAACAAGCAAUCCCGGGUGAUCUUCCUCAGCCACGACUUUCACUCCAUGACGCAGGGCACCUCCUCUAUCGCCGAGUACUGCAGCCGCAUGAAGACCCUCGCCGACGCCCUCCGCGACGUCGGCCAUCCCGUUCAGGACUCCCAACUUGUCCUAAACCUGCUCCGCGGCCUCAACCCGCGCUUCUCCAACACCGCCGACAACAUCGCCAACUCCUCCGCCGGCUUCCCGUCCUUCGCCCAGGCGCGGGACAUGUUCGCCCUGAAAGAACUUCACCUCGCUAACAAGGAGAAGAUCUCUAACUCCAUUGCCCUCCUCGUCGGGACCUCCUCGUCUUUCGGCUGUACGGGCAGGUGUCGCUCGGCGUCUGGUUCUGUCCAGACUGGCGGCAGCGGCAGCAGCAGUAGCGGCGGCCGCGGCGCCGACAGUAGCGGCAAGAAGAAGUAGCCGAAGAAGGGCGGCAGCUCUCACGACGGUGGGUCCCCACGGCCCACCGGCCUGUGAUUCUGUUUCAGUCCCGGAGCCGGCCCCUACGGCGCCACGGGUUUCCCGCGGGCUGGCGGCGGUGGGGGCUGGCGCGCCGGCGCCCCUGGUCUCUUCGGGCCCCCUCCGCAAGCUCACGCCGCCUUCUCUACAAUGAGGAAGAACACCCACCAGAUCGUUGAUUAGAGAGAGAGCUCAGGAGUGUCGCACAGGAAAGUUUUCUAUGAACUCAAAGCUUAUGUUUCCAUUUCUCCAAACUUACAGUUUUACUCCUCGUUCCUCCGAGAAUGUUCUUACCCGUUCCUUUGUUCCAAAUGCACGGUACUAUCAGUAAAAUGGAGGAACAAGGUUUCUACGAAAUUUGUAUAGAAAACCUAUGUUCCAAAGGUACUCUAAGGCCUUGUUUGAUAAAAUAGGCGGAUUGAAAGAGAAUAAAAGGGAUUGAGUCUCAAAUGAACUAAUUUUCUCUCAAAAUAAUCUUCCCAUUCCAUUUAAUCCACUAAGUAAAAAACAAGCCUAAAUUGUUUGAGCCCACGACGCUGCUUGGAAACGCGGUAUGUCCAUGAAUCUUCAUCGUCAGCGUGUCCAGGACACCACCGACACCUCUAGUUUGCACUUGCACCGCACAAUCAAGGCUACCUGCUGCCAGUGCUAUGAGAUCCACAUGCAAAAUGUUAUCGAGGCAUGCAUGCAAGUCUUUGAACCGCACAUGCAUCCUUUUUUUAGAACUGUGUAGCUCUGUGAUGAGGAAGAAGACCCACCAGAUCGUUGAUCAGAGAGAGAGAGAGAGAGCUCAUCGAGUGUCGCAGGAAUGUUUUCUACGGUCCUAAAGCUUAUUUUUCCAUUUCUCCAAACGUAGAGUUUUACUCCUCAUUCCUCCGAGAAGGUUAUUACGAAAUUUCUAUAGAAAAACCUGCGUUCCAAUGGUACCCUAAAUUGAUUGAGCCCGCCCCCACCACAGGAAAUGCCCGAGACGCGGCUUGGAAAUGCAGUAUGUCCACGAAACUUCGUCGUCACAGGGCACCACCGACACCUCUAGUUUGCACUUGCACCGCACUAUCAGCUGCCUGCUGCCACUGCUAUUGAGAUCGAGCUCUUUUACGGUACAAAAUACUACCAUUUAGUGGUAUAUAGUAUAUAGAAUUAUAGAUGAUCUAACCAUCCAUAAUUAUGAAUAAGUUAGUAAUUAUUACAUUGCAAAAGUGAUAUUUCAAAUGGAAUAAUCUUUUAGAUUUUAUGCUAGCGUCGAAAAAAAUAUUACAUUGAUUUGAUGACAUUUGUGUUCUUUUACCAUGAUACCUUAUACUACAUAUAUUAUUCAUGUAUAUUAGUACUACCUAUAUCACCUGUGAAAUUUUUAUAGUAUAUAAUUAAUUUUAAUUAUCGGAUGUUUUUAUACAAUUCUUUUUGAACAUCAGUAUAGUCUAUUAUUGUGCACAUUAAAAAAUUCCAUUAACAUCCACGUGCAAAUCUUAUCGAGAUACAUGCAUGCAAUUCUUUGAACCGCACAUGCAACUGAACUCUGAGCUCUCUACGUACGUGUGGGCCACCUUAGGGCCUGCUCGUCAGGUCCCUGCGUUUCGGUGACAGGCGGUCCAGCGAUGCAACACAUGUUGAUUGUUGACUUGUUCAGCAUGCAUUCACUGAAUGCAGACGAUGCUGGGAUAUUUCUCUACGUCUCCUUGCUGGCAGCCAGCAAUCUUUAGUUGUUAGGUGAUGGGCUGGAGUGCCAAAAUGUAUGCUUCCUUUCGGGUUGACCAAUGACUUCUGUCGAAGCUAGUCAUCUGGCGUCAAUUUCUUCAGUCCGGUGAAAGUAACUUUAUACCUACGGCUCACACGAUAUCUAGGUGUGUUUUGUUGUAUAUACUACGAUCUUAUUUGGAUCCCACCAACUAAAGUUCUCUCGCUGGAUUGCAGGUUCUAGCUAAACUUUAGCUAAGAAUCUAAAUAGAUUUUGAUUCUAAGCUAAAUUUUAGCUAGCUAAACUUUAGUUGGUGGGAUCCAAAUAUGACCUAUAUACCAUUUGAUUCGUAUGGAAUGCUUCAAGUUAAAUGAUGAUCUAUAUAUUUAUUUAGUUGAGCGAACAAUAUAUACCAACUUAUUCACGAUGAAAUCCAUCCCAUUUUAUGUAGUUUUCUAUUGAGAGUGAUAAACCAUAUGAAUGAAAAAAUUGAUUGAACCAUACUAUAUAGUAUUAUUUAUACAUGAACUAUUUGGUAUGUGCAACAACCAAAUACAUCAGUAUUAAACGGUUUAAACUAGAUAGUAUUUGGUUAGGUGAAUCAUACAAACUUAUCCAUACUCACUUGAUAUAAUUUUCUUACUGACAAUAGAAACUAAAUGGACCAUACUUACAUAAUAUUCCAUACAUUCACGAUUGGAAAAAGUUCAUUUUUAACCAUAAAACUAUCACCUGAGUUAGAUUUUGACCAUCCAAUCCUAAAAUCAGAAAUCUUCGACCACUCAAUUAUCAAAAUCGUUUACAAUUGACUAUCUACCUGUUUUGAUGGGUGGUUUUGCUUAUGUAGCUAACACGUGUGGAAGUGGGGCCUGUGAGAUGGAUGAAAAUGUGAUGCCCUUUGGGGCUCACGGUUCCAUGUUUAUAUGGCCGGGAACAGCCCCCGGCAUGGCUUGUACAAGGAGCUACUUGAUGUACAAGAUACAGAAAAUAGGAAACAACAAUUCCAAGCUAGCUUGCCUAAACUAGUUGAUUACAAGAUCAAUUACAUGAUUACAGGAACCGUGAUAUGGUAGGGAACCUUGACAUAUUCCAACACCCCCCUGUUAACCACAACUGUCAGUCAAAUUGAGAUUAUGUCGAAACAUCAGUAAUCGCUGGACAGGUAGGGCCUUUGUAAGCCAUCAGCUACCUAAUCUUCAGAAGAAAUAAAUCUUACUUCCAGCAGUUUGUGUGCUACUUGUUCUCUCACAAAAUGAUAAUCGAUCUCAACAUGUUUGGUGCGUGCAUGAAACACCGGGUUCUCAUAUAAAUACUUUGCUCCUAUGUUAUCACACUAAAGCCUUGCUGCUCAAGGAUGAGGAAUUUUCAGUUCAUCUAAUAGUUUCUGUACACACAUAAGGUCUGCAGUGGUAUUAGCAAGUGCUUUGUACUAUGCCUCUGUGCUAGAUCUAGAAACAGUUGCUUAUUUUCUAGCACUCCAAGAGAUUAAAUUGGGACCAAAAAAGAUUGCAAAGCCCCCUGUUGAUUUUUUUUAUCAUCUAGGCAUCUUGCUAAUCGCAUCCUGCCCAGUCUGCAUCUGCAAAUGCACUGAGUAACAUGGAUGCUGAUUUCCUGGUUUCUAGUCCAACCUUUAGUGUCCCUCUUACAUACCUCGAAAUUCUCAUUACAGCAGCCAAAUGAGUAGUAGUGGGACAGUGUGAAAAUCAGCACAACUUGUUAACCGAAAAGGAUAUGUCAGGAUGGGUCAGGGUGAGGUAUUGUAGAGCUCCCACUAUGCUUCUAUAGCGUGUGGAAUCUUCUGUUCCUAGAGCUUCACCCUCUGAUCUAGACAACUUCUCGGUUGGGGAAAGAAGAGUGUUCAUAGGUUUGCUUGACAUCAUGUUGGUACGCUGAAGUAUUUCAGUUGCAUAUCUUUCUUGACUAAAGUAAAAGAUCAGUUUUAGACUUUUGUACUUGUAUGCCAAGGAAGCACUGGGAAGCGUGCCCCUGCUAGGCGCACCAAGAACACCUCCAGGGAGCAUGAAAUGAUGCUGAAUUUCUUCCAAAUUUUCACCAGUGUCAAGCAAAAUAUGAUCUGCAGCUGCAUCCAUAGACUCGGUAAUAGGAUUAAGAGAGUUAGCAGAUGGCACAUAAGUAUUGUCAUCCCCAUCAGGUAAGUUUCUUAAGGUGUUUGGAAGAAGAAGAAUUUUAGAAGGCAAACAAGCACCGGCAUUGGGAUGAAGUUUGGAGAAGGGAUAAAUUGUUUCAUCAAAAACAACAUCCCGUGAGAUGUAAACUCUUCCUGUAGCAGCAUUUAAAUACUUGAACCCCUUGUGCAUUGUACUAUACCCAAGAAAAACGCAUUGUUUGGAAUGGAAUUGAAGUUUUCGAGUAUUAUAUGGUCGUAAGUUGGGCCAACAAGCGCAUCCAAAAAUGCGAAGGAUAACAUAAUUUGGGGUUUGAUGAAACAAACUCUCAAAAGGAUUUUGAUGCUGAAUGAUUUUGCUAGGGAGUUGGUUUAUAAGAUAUGUGGCUGUUAUAAAUGCUUCAUCCCAAAAUUUUAAUGGGAUAGAGGCUUGAGCAAGAAGUGAGAGCCCAACUUCAACUAUGUGACGAUGUUUACAUUCAGCAGAACCAUUUUGUUGAUAUGCAUGUGGGCAUGAAACAUGAUGAGAGAUGCCAAUGUGCUGAAAGAAAUAAUUCAGUUUUUGAUAUUCACCUUCCCAAUCCAUUUGAAUAGCUAGGAUUUUUCAAUCAAAGAGCCUUUCAACAAGGUUCUAGAAAUCGUGAAAGCAACGAAAAACCUCAGAUCUGUGAUGCAAGAGAUAAAUCCACGUGAAAUAUGGAAAAAUUGAACCAGUUUAGAGCACUGGUACUGAAGUCGUCAAUGAAGCUCACAUAAAAACUAUGUUUCCCAACAGAGGUUGGUGCCGGUGCCCACACAUCAGAAAAAAUAAGUUCAAGGGGAUUGUUAGACACACUUGAAGAAUGUGGAUAAGGCAAUUGAUGGCUCUUGCCUUGUUGACAUGCAUCACAAAUAACACCAUUGUUUGACUCAGAAACAAAAGGAAGUUUAUUUUUAUUAAGAAUCUACUGAACAAUUGAAGAAAAGGGGUGGCCAAAAUGAUUGUGCCACAAUGAAGACGACAACUUGACGGAGGCAAGCAACCUUUUAUUUGGGGUAGACUUCAAGUGGUAGAGGCCUCCUUCACGUCUACCUUGCGGAAGAACCCUUCUCGUUCCUCGGUCCUUGAUGAAAAAAUAAUGCGGAUGAAAUUCAAAGAAAGCAUCAUUAUCUGAAACAAGUUUAUGAACAGAGGCUAAACUUUUGUUGGCCUGAGGGACAUACAGGACAUUGUUUAAGAUGAGAUCAUGAUUGGGGGUAUGAACAAUACUAUGACCAAUCUGUUUAAUCUCCGUACCUGCGCCACUAGCAGUGUGGACUUGAUCACCUCUCUGGUACCUGUCCCUCAUGGUGAGCUUCUCAAGAUCGCCGGUGACAUGAUCCAUCGCGCCGGUGUUGAUGUACCAGUUGGUGUCGAUGUUGUAGGCCGAGGAGGUUGUAGAGGAAGUAGACUUCUUAGGGUCACCUUGGAAGGAAGCAUCAAAGCGCUUGUAGCAACGGAUGGCAGUAUGCCCCUCCUUGCCACACAGCUGACAGGUGGGCCCAUCCAUGUUGGAUCCCUAAUUGAAACCCUGUCGCCUAGUACCGCCACCGCGUCCUCCACGGGCAGUGAGGUUCGCCGAGGAGUUGGAGCCGCCACCUUGCAGCAAAUCUAAAUGAUGCUCAAAACCAACAAGCUGGGUGUAAAGUUCACCUAGGGUUAGGGGCUCAGUCCGUGCGGUGAUGGUGGAGACAACCUGGUUGAAGUCGAGAUCCAACCUGGCCCGGAUGUACGAGGAGAGCUCCUCAUCAUCCAGCUACUUCCCGGCAGACGCCAUUUCAUCGGCCAGGGUCUUCAUACGACCAAAGUAUUCAGCCAUGGUGCUGCUCCCUUUUUGCGUCGUUGCAAGCGCCAUGCGCGUGUUGAUCACACGCGCGCAUGUUUGGAAUGCAUACAUGAAAGGAUCGUGUGAUGCCUAGAGGGGGGUGAAUAGGCUCGAUCUUUAAAACUUGAAAAUUCUUCGCAGCGCUGUUAAAUGGGUCGGAACUUCCGACGCUGUGCCGGCACUUCCGACAGGGUCGGAAGUUCCGGUAUAACUACUCUACGAAAUUCAAAAACUAACAGGUUUCAGCAAAAUCUAUUUGAAUCAAAACUUCAGCAAUGAUAUAUAGAAACUACUGCAGGUGAUCUUUACAAGAGAAACUUCACCAAAAAGUAGAUCGGCACAAAUCAAGCUCUAAGUCAACAAGAACUUGAAGAACACAAUAAGCACGCGAGACAAAGGAUUUGUUUACUGAAGUUCACUCCCACAAAGGGAGCUAUGUCUCUACUGAGGAGCUCACAAAGAGCCGGGUCCUCAUUAACCUUUUACCUCUCUCAAUCAACCACAAAGGAAGAUUGAGUCACUUACUAUGAAUCCUCCAAGAGGAUGGGCAAUACAAACUUCUCGGGUGCACCACAACGAGAGUGUGCUCAAACGGGCAACACCGAACCGUCUAGAAGCAAGCUUCAAGAGUAAGAAACAUGAAUCAAAGGCUGAAGAUGCUUCAAGUGCUCUUGAAAUAAACUUGGUUGACCUCUCACUCAAAGAUUGAGUCACACACCUCAAAUCCUUCUCUCACCCAAGCCCUACCUCAAAACUCUCAAAGAUUUAGCUCAAGGAGGGAGUGGGGAGGAGUAUUGAAUGCUCAAGGGGGGUGUUUGUCUCGUGGUUGGUCAGCAACAAAUAAAGUGGGGGCUGAGGGGGUAUAAAUACCCGAGCCUCAAAAACUAGCCGUUGCAGUUCUAUUAUGUGCUUGUCGGAACUUCCGACACAGUUCAAAUAAAAUGGUUGGGAACCCCCUGCUGAAAGUUACUGGAAACUUCCGGUGCCUAUUAUCGGAACUUCCGACAUAGGGUCGGAACUUCCAAUACUAUUCAAUUAAAUCUGCUGAGCACCCCUAGUCGGAAGUUUUCAGCAGGUGUUGGAACUUCCGACCCCAUAUCGGAACUUCCAACACUCACAGAAACUGUGAGAAACUAAACGUGCAAGUGUGUGAGUGGUGUCUCUCAUAGGUGGUUAGCAUCUCAAAUAAGCACUUUGACAUCUUCAAGCUAUCCAUUCGCGUCCCCCUUUAUAGUACGAUGUUCCUAUACUCAAAUUCAAAAAUAAAAAUUAUAAAAAUCUUCCUUUAUGCUUCAACACCGUCCUUCAAACAAAUUUGGGGUCCUUUCUUGCAUUUUUUUCAUUUCUUAACAUUUGAACCUGUCAAUUUCUCGAUUCCUUAAUUAUGCAUGUCAUCAACACCAAAACCUACUCAGGGGGCCAAAUGCACUUUCAAUACAUGGCGUCAAUUGCAUCCCAGGCUUCAGCAACCGACAACACCGCUGCCACCUGCGUGAGGAUGUCAUGCGAGAUGGAGGCGAAGAGGAAGUUCAGGACCUGUUGGUCCUUGAUGACCCAGAGAUCAUACUCUGGGUUUGGCUCCUGCUCGGUUGGCUUGGCAGGAUCCUAGCAAAGGUCUUGGGUGGCGGCAGGACCUUGGAGUACACCUGCGCCUUCCACAUCGCAUGGUUGUUCCUCGCCAGCCGCUCGGUGACCGAACAGCCGAUCAAAGAAGCGACAGCAGACGAUUUGGAGGAUCUUGAGUUGGCCAUGGGAAAGCUCGGUAAAGAACCGGGCUCUGAUUACCAUGUGAGUUGGAUGAAAAUGUGAUGCCCUUUGGGACCACGGUUCCAUGUCUAUAUGGUCGGGAACAACCCCCGGUGUGGCUUGUACAAGGAGCUACUUGAUGUACAAGAUACAGAAACAAUAAAACAACAAUCCUACACUAGCCUGCCUAAACUAGCUGAUUACAUGAUCAAUUAAAUGAUUACAGGAACCGUGAUAUGGUAGGGAACAUUGACAUAUUCCAACAGGGUCCACAUGUCAGUAUUAUCUUCUUCGUCCCUCCCUCUCUGUCCCUCAUCUCUCCCUUUCUCGCUCAUGGACUUAUUUGUUUCCUCACCAUCCUAUCUCUCUUCCCUCUUUGCUAACCGAGUGGAAGUGGAACCCUAGGCACUGGGAAGGAGCGGGUGUGGUGGAGUAGCUCGACAGGUAGACAGGGCGCGAACCCAUAACAAUGGUGGGUGAGAUUGCCUUAAUAGCCGGGGCUGGGAUGGUCACCAAGGCACCCGGCCUAGCAUAGCGGCGGCAUGGCCCAAGCGGCAAGGCAAGCUCCAUGGGUUCAGCCCUGAUGCGGGGGUGCCUUCAUACGGCUCGUGCGUGGUGUAUAUGCUCAGCCGGGGCAGGGGCAACCUGCCUAUGCACAGUUGCGUAACCAGCGGCGGAGGAGAUUCUAGGGUGGAGGCGAAGGAUGGCGGUGCUUUGAGCAGAAGGCCGCGAAGUGCAGCACGGUACCCAUCGUAGCCAAGCUCAUAGGACCUGGUGAUGCCCCGCAUGGCAGCGCAUGAAGGGUUUGGCGGGAGGUGGUGGGCCAGCGAGUGGGCAUGCCAUAUCAUGCAGGAGAGAGAAGAGGGGGAGAUCCAUGGAGGCUAAGAAGACAAUGCGGACAAUGUAGGCUCAACUGCCACGUGGUGCCAUGGUGUCGGCCGCGUCAGCAAAAUCACCCACCAAAAUAGUUAGAUGAUCAAUUGUGAACGGUAUUGAUAGUUGGGUGGUCGAAAAUUUUUGGUUUUGGAGUUAGAUGGUUAAAAUCAAACUCAGACGAUAAUAGGAUUGUUAAAAAUGAAUUUUUACAUACACGAUUUGGUACAUUCAACCAAACACAAUAGUCCUUGUGCAAGUGUCCAUCAAAGCCAUCUAAAGUGAACCUAGGCUUCUUGUCCUUGCCUAUAUAUAAACUAAAUGUGCUCGAAGUUUCCAACUAAGCAAUCCACCAAACGCAAGAUUUACGCACCAUCGUCCACGCUUACGUCAUCUCACCUAACACAAACCAUGGUCACCAUCAUAGCACGCCGGAGCAAGCCCCACCUAGUGGCGCCAGCAUGUCCGACACCAUGCGAGACGAAGACCCUCUCCGACAUGGACGACCACCCCGGCAACCGGGCUUAUGUUCCCUUGGUCGAGUUCUUCGUCCGCGACGACGACGGCCUCGGCCCAGAGGACCCGGCGGCGGCCAUCGAGGCGGCGCUGGGCGAGGCUCUGGUGUAUUACUACCCCGUCGCUGGCCGUAUGCAGGAGACAGCCGGGGGCAAGCUGGCGGUGAGCUGCAACGGAGAAGGGGUGGCGUUCGUGGAGGCCGACGCCGCCGUGCGGCUGGAGGAGCUCGGUACGCCGCUGCUGCCACCGUACCCGUGCGUCGAGGAGCUGCUCUGCGACGCCGGCGACGCUCACGUCGUCGUCGGCAAGCCAAUCGUCUUCAUGCAGGUAGGUAACAGAUAAUCGUCGGCGUCCCCGGCCGGCAAGCCAAUCGUACUAACCCCCGCCACAACUUCUACUUGAUCGUUUGCAUGAAGGUGACAAGGUUCCAAUGUGGAGGAUUCGCGAUUGGUCUUCGGAUCAACCACUGCAUCGCAGACGGCUUCGGCAUGAUCCAGUUCCUCAGAGCCGUAGCCGACGUGGCACGCGGCGAGGCCGCUCCGGCGGUGCUGCCCGUGUGGGAACGGCACCUGCUAAUGGCCCGCGCGCCGCCGAGCACAGGCUACGUGCAUCGGAAGCUGAUGUUGCUUCUCAAGGACCCUCCUGCCGCCGGCGCCGGCGCAACGCCGCCGGCGGCGAGCGUGGUGUGCCGGCACUUCCUCUUCGGCCCGGCGGAGAUCUCCGCGCUGCGAGGCCGCGUCGCGGGGUACGACGACCUCGGGGCGUCGUGCACGAGGUUCGAGCUGCUGACAGCGGCGCUCUGGCGGUGCCGGGUGGCGGCGUGGGGCCUGGCCGACGACCAGCGCGCCGUCCUCGUCUUCGCCGUGAAUGUGCGCCGGAGGUGGGUGCGGAUCCCGCCGGGUUACUACGGCAACGCGCUCGUGUUCCACGUCGUGGAGGCCGACGCCGGCGAGCUGCGCGGGAGGCCGCUGGGCCACGCGGUGGUGCUCGUGCGCGAGGCCAAGGCGGACACGAGCGAGGAGCACGUGAGGUCCACCGCCGAUUUCAUGGCGUCGAUGCGCGAGAUGCCCCCGGCGACGUACCACGAGGAAACCUACAUGAUGUCGGACUGGACGCGCCUCGGCGAGGACGAGGUGGACUUCGGGUGGGCAAGGCGGGUCGGCGGCGGCGUCGCGAUGCCGCCGUCACCGUUGGUGAGCUUCAACGCAAAGUGCGUGAAUUCGGAUGGCGACGAGUCGGUGAUUGUGACGAUGGCGUUGCCGGAGGCAGUGAUGGAGAGGUUCGAGAAGGAGAUUGAUAAGAUUUGGUCAAAGAAUUAAAGAUGUCGAUCGAAUGUAUCCUUUGGGUUCUACGUACCAUGUUGUUGUACUUUAUAGGAUGGUGAAAUGCAUGUGUUCUUACAAUAAAUGGCAAACUGCCUUGAACACUUCUAGUUGGGAUGAAUUGUUUAGUUUGCAGGCUUCACUCAUCACUCUAUUUUCUAAGUUUUUAGGACAUUAGUGAAUAGGCGGGAUGGAACGGUGACUUGCUUCGACUGGUGCACGAAUGUUGGCUCUUUUACUCUGUUUGCAGAUCAGUACCUUCUGCUGUUCAUUUGCUGAUGUCUUUUGAGCGAGUGUUUGAGCCGAAUGCACUUGUGCUGGCAGAUGUUUGUUUUCUUUGGUAAUCUCGUUUUGUGCAAGCUCAAUUCCAAACAGUUGGUACACUGGAUUUUCCUUGCUUUUAUCGACUGGUAUACUGAGUUCGUUCUGGCUUUCGAUCUUGGAGAUCGUGCUUGUCUUGUUUACAUGUGUGGUAUCAUUGUUUAGGGGGGUAUUUUGUUUCCAUGAUUUCACUGGUCCCUAAUUCUUGUUGAUAGAUUGCUCUGCACUUGCUUCUCUCUUCCUUUUGCUAGAGUAAUCUACAUUGACCUUUGGUUCUAUAAAGUAGGAAAAGCAGCUGCAGCUCUAAUCAGUUCAGCAGCAAAGUGUUUGAGUGCCCUGUUCUCUCCUAUCUCCUCCUACCUCCAGCUCAAAGUGUGUGCGCGUGUGGGUGUGAGUUCCAGGGAGCUCACCUUGGCCAUUGCCAACAAUUCUGGCGUCUGAGUAAAAUGCAGAGAGGUUGCUUUAUAGUUUAUUUGAUGAGAAAGCGAUUUUGGUGCCUGAAGAGUUCUUGAUUUCCAUUGCCUGAGAGUUUAGCUCACAGGGACAGGAGUGCAGCAACUUGUAACAUGUAUAGAAAGACCAGGAACUUGUACAUGUAUAGAAACAGACCACCAACUGUAUUGUAUUACACAGAAAAAUUCGCCGUCGCUCAUAUUGAAAUGAAUGUAGAUGCGAAGCUCAGCGGAUGACCUGCUACUGGCAUUGCAAAAAUGGUCAUCAUUCCAUUCCAGCAGAUUUUAGAGUCUUCAAUCAAAAAGGUUGUAUAUGCAGAGAUGAGAAACAGAGGUGUUCUUGUUUCAUACAGUGUGUUGUGUACAUAUGUAAUAGUUUGGAGGCAUGGAGUAAGUGAAUUUAUAGCCCUCCCUCAGAGAAGGAACACAGGAACUCAAGGCUACGAGCAGCUGAUGACAGACAGGAAGAUCGAGGAAGCCCCCUUAUGCCUUCCACCACGGGUCCUCGCCGGUCCUGAAGUCGGUCUCCACCCACGGGACGAAGAGGACCUUGCCGUCGUCGACGUCGGCGUGCACCAGGGCCAGCGACUGUUGUUGUUCCGAUCAGAUGAGCAAUUCAACCAAGAUCAGAUUCAGUCAGUUGAUGAAGGCAGAUCAUAUCAUUCAGCUAGAAUCAAGGAAGCAAAAUGAAUGAAAUGCAUUGCUCACCAGGGGCGCCGGGCCACGGACGACCCUGCCCUGGUUGUUGUACUGCGAGCCGUGGCAGGGGCAGAUGAACUUGUUCUCGGCGCUGUUCCACGGCACGACGCACCCCAGGUGGGUGCAGACGGCGUUGAUGCCGUAGGUGGCCAGCGUCUUGUCCUGCUCCACCACCAGGUACGUCGGGUCGCCCUUGAGCCCCUGCGCCAGCGUCCGGUCGUUGGGGCCGUGGGUCUUGAGCCACUCGUCCACCUUGAUGUCGUUGCCCAGCUUGUCCUUGGCGUACGUCCCGCCGCCGGCGCUGCCGGACCUGCAAAUUAUUACCCGUUGAGCUGCUGGCCGGCCGGUGACAGACAGGACUAGGCAGCUUACCCGGCGGGGAUGAAGAAGGCGCCGUAGGGGACGACCAUGCCGACGGUGGGCAGCGAGAUGGCGCCCAGGAGGAGGAGGUUCAUCAGCUUCCGCUUCUCCAUGUCGGGGACGCGGUCGGCGGGGAUGCUGCUCGCCGCCUGGCACGUGAUGCUCCGCCGGCCCAUCCCGAGGCCGAGGCCCUUCACCGGCUUGCCCAGCGAAGAAGCAGCGCGGGGCCGGCAGAGCUGCCAUUGCAGGCGCGCACAUCGCAUGCAAACGGAUAUAUGUGAUCCAGACUUAAACAUAGAUAACAGAUCAAUCGAGCUGCAAAUUAAAUGUAUAGCAAACCUGGAUUCUGUGGUCAACUACUCCAGAAUCCAGAUACAAAUGAGUGUCUACAACGUAUUUGAAUUGUUCGUCAAAUCGUCAGGUAAAUCCAGUGGACCACGGAUCAGAACCAGGAGUGAAAUCGAUAUAGUAGUGCUACACUGCUACUCCAUUACUUUGUAGGUAGUAUGAUCCAUGUUCUUUCAGUUCUAACUUCUACGUUGCGUUAACGAACUCAUACAGCAAAGACGAUGAACACGCCUUUCUCGGAAAAAAGUCACAGCAGUAGCCAGUAGGGGAGGGGAGAGAGGAGAAGCGAGGCGCAGAAGAAGUAGAAGAGGAAGCUGGGCGCUUACCUGGGUGGGGUUGGCGGCGGUGGAGAGCGCCGUGGAGGCCGCCAUGGCUGCAGGGAAGGGAGGAUCGGAUUGCUGGGGGAGGUGUCGAGCGAGGCUUCUGUCGCUGGCGUCCACAGGCUUGCGGAUGAGCCCCG
rnacentral:lncRNA from 1 species